rnacentral:rRNA from 1 species
AAGCGUAUACGGCCAGACUUGGUCGCGGGGGCUCCGCUCGUCUUCUGGCGGGUGUACUCCCUCGCGGACAGGCCAGCAUCGGUUUCCGGGGUUGGAUAAAGGCGCUGGGAAUGUGGCUCCCCUCGGGGAGUGUUAUAGCCCGGCGUGCAAUGCGACCACUGGGGACCGAGGACCGCGCUUCGGCAAGGAUGCUGGCGUAAUGGCCUUAUACGG